UACGGGGGGGGCAAGCGUUGUUCGGAAUUACUGGGCGUAAAGGGCUCGUAGGCGGCCAACUAAGUCGGAUGUGAAAUCCCCAGGCUCAACCUGGGAACUGCAUCCGAUACUGGAUGGCUUGAAUCCGGGAGAGGGAUGCAGAAUUCCAGGUGUAGCGGUGAAAUGCGUAGAUAUCUGGAGGAACACCGGUGGCGAAGGCGGCAUUCUGGACUGUAACUGACACUGAGGAACGAAAGCCAGGGGAGCAAACGGG
rnacentral:rRNA from 1 species